rnacentral:lncRNA from 1 species
UUCUUGGAGAGCACUGUGCCUCCACAACGGUCUAACGGAGACAUACUUUCACUCACCGGGAAGGAACUCCGGUAACACAUCUUCGUCUUCUUUGGUUCCACUUGUGGUUACUACCCACCUUUACUUUGUGCAAGCUAUUUGUAUUGUUUAUCUCCUUGCUUGUAUUGUUAUUGUUGUUAGCAUCAUAUAGGUUGCUCACCUAGUUGCACAUCUAGUCAACCUUUUGUUGCGAAGUCUAAUUUGUUAAAGAAAACUUAAAAAGUGGUAGAUGCCUAUUCACCCCCCUCUAGUCAACUAUAUCAAUCGUUUCAAUGUUGCAUAACUAAUAAGAAACCAAAUAUAAUAUUUAUUGACAACAUUUGUUUCAUGAUAUGUCAACUAAUAAAUCAAGACAAAUCAAAAGGCAAUAUUUAGCAUAGAUAGAUGAUACAAAAGAUUAAUACCCAAUCAAA